GGUUACGUGGUGACAGGAGCCGGGGUAAGACAGGUGGGGCGGGGGUUGUCCGGAAUCACGGGGCGUAAAGGGCGGGGAGGCGGCGUGGGAAGCGGCGUGUGAAAUCCCGGGGCUCAACCCCGGAACGGCACGCGGGACUGUCGGGCUAGAGAAUGGUAGAGGCGAGUGGAAUUCCUGGUGUAGCGGUGGAAUGCGUAGAGAUCAGGAAGAACACCGGUGGCGAAGGCGGCUCGCUGGGCCAUUUCUGACGCUGAGGCGCGAAAGCGUGGGGAGCAAACAGGAUUAGAUACCCCUGUAGUC
rnacentral:rRNA from 1 species